AGGUCUCAACCCGGUACGGAAUUAGACCCAGCCCAUUGUAGUCUAGAAAGUAGUUCUUUAAAAUUAUGAAAUGGCCCAAUUUAAGUCAUCUCUAGUUAGAUUGUUCAUAAUUAAAGUGUAUUUAUUGCAUGUGUGUAGUUUUUGUGUGUUAUAUGAUGACUUUAAAAGUUGUUUUUUGUGUAUUCUCCAGGAACUCAUUUGUUGGUGGAAGGAUUAAAGAUGUACUACCCACCAGCUGUCAGGAGUUUUUAAAGUGGUGAAUUUAAACAGUGUUACAACAGAAUGAAGAUUUCUGAAAAAAGUAGAUGGCUAACCUAUUAUAUUUUGGGCAUCAUUUGACUUAGAUAGUUUUAAUGUAUAAAGUUGAAGACAGUAUAUAAUUCAUCAAGAACAUUGGAAUCCAGAAUUAAACCUCAAAUUUGACUGAUUUACUAUAGAACUAAUAGUACGAAAAUUCACCGGGCCGAGUCCAAGAUAAGAAAUGUCAAAAAUGGGAACUGGUUGAUGGAUAUGGAUGAAACUUUGCAUCAGUGUUGUGUUUAUGAAUAGAAGUCAGGAAAAUAAAGGAUUACUGACAGACCAUGCAGUUGCCAAAGCCUGGGUUUGAGUAUAUGACCUUACCUUAUCCUGGUCAAGAUCUAUAGAAGGACUCCUUCAGCUCUGUUUGGCAGCAGCUUUGUCAGGACACAUUGAGAAGGAACUCAUUUGUUGGUGGAAGGAUUAAAGAUGUACUACCCACCAGCUGUCAGGAGUUUUUAAAGUGGUGAAUUUAAACAGUGUUACAACAGAAUGAAGAUUUCUGAAAAAAGUAGAUGGCUAACCUAUUAUAUUUUGGGCAUCAUUUGACUUAGAUAGUGUUAAUGUAUAAAGUUGAAGACAGUAUAUAAUUCAUCAAGAACAUUGGAAUCCAGAAUUAAACCUCAAAUUUGACUGAUUUACUAUAGAACUAAUAGUACGAAAAUUCACCGGGCCGAGUCCGAAAUAAUUUU